CUAUGGUACACUUGUCUUUAGAAGACGGAUUUUUUUUAAGUAACUGAAAAAGGAGGUAAUUAUUUUAAGCUUUAAUAUAGUUUUUGUUGCUGGGGAGCCAAAACAUACACACACACAUGCACACACACACACACACACACACAGGCAAAGAAUUUUUUUUUUCCUUUGGGAAAACAGUAAUAUGUGUAAACUGGUUUGGAGGAAGUUUAUUGUUUCCCAGCCAGAAUGACAUUUAGGAUAUUUGAAUUCAUUGAUCAUAGUUUUAGGUAAAUAAACACUGAAAUAGGGUCAGCUUUUAGAUAUAUGGAUGGGCUGGGAUGCAAGAGAAAGGCUGGCUUCGGGUCCAGGCUUUGCCUUUGAUGGGCUAUGUACCUGGGACUUGUUUAUUUUGCUUUUUUUGGAGCUUCAGUUUCCUCACCUCUGAAUUGAGUGGAUGAAAGGACCGUCAAGGUUUGCCACGUCCUCAUUCCCUGCUUCUGUGAUCUGAUCUUCUCAGAUCCAGAUCCCUUUGUGAGCAGAAGAUGCAGGCAGGGACCAGGAUCCCCAUGAAUGAGGUAGGCUACCUGCAGGUGUGCAUCCCUCCAUGCCAUGGCUUUGAUGGGUUGGCGCCGACAGCAAGCUUUUUUGCAUGGGAAAAAGUUCCCUUCCAAUUACACAGCAGUUUUGUGGUGGCUGAGGGGCUAUAAUGGGAAUGCUUUGCAGCCAAAGCACUCUCAUUCAUAAAUUCCACUGUGACACUCUCUCUAAUUUUUUUCUCUUUUGGAUAGAUCAGUAUUCUGUGGUUUCCUCCACCACAGCCAUGCAAGCAAAAGUGAGUAGUUAAAUCUCGUCAUGGCCUUUAAGUCUCUGCAACACACGGACAUGACAGUGUCAAUCAUAAGCAAUAUUUGGUGCAGUAAAUAACAGUGAGCUGACCCUUCCAAUAUCUUCUAGGAGGCGUCUUUAAAAUGAAGUACAGGAAGGAACUAAAUAUAGGAGCUGGUCUGUUUCUAGUUUAUGGAUUUCUCUAGAAAUAGACAUUUUAUUCUGGUAAAAGCUCUGUGUUCAUCACACACAGCUAGAUGCAUGUGCUGAAUGUCAACCUCUGUGCAGGUGUGAAUAUCUAAUGUAAAUUAUGGAAAUUUAGGCUGCUUUUAAAAAAUAUUUUCUACAUCUGCUUUUGUAAUUUGCAUUAUUCCUGGGAUCCCUUUCUAGAAGUGACUAAAAUGCAGAAAGAAAAUCAAAGUAAAUGUCAUUCAAAGAAAUGAAAUACAUAAAAUAACCACACAGAAUCCAUACGCGACAGGCUGUUUUAGUAUUUAUUUUUUUAAACGUAAGAAGUAUAUAUAUUCCCUUAAAGCCAAUGUAUGAGUCCCUUUAGCAGUGAUCUAAAAGAUUUCUACUUCAUGAAAAACCUAUUCCUCUGAGAAUCUGCACCCUGUGUUCAGAGGAAAAAGGACUCUUUUGGCUGUUAAAUUCCAAUUUUCUAAAGGAAGUAAACAUUCCAUCUCAGGCUUCUCACACAUCAGAUAAACACCACUUUGAAUCAUAUGUUUAUCCUGGAAGGAAAUCGCCUCUCCAUUUUGUAGAUGGGGGCCCAGGAAAGAGGCUACUUGUCCGAGAUCCUACAGCUAGUGGGCAUCUGAACCAGGAUCUCUUUCUACCCCAUCCCAUUAGCCCUCCUGGGAAGAGUUAGGGUGGAAUUUCUGAGACUUCCACAGCAAUUAGGUGCUCAGACACUAGAUCAAGGGGAACUUUCAAAGUGUUGUUGAUAGUCUUGCUAAUAGGUCAGGCAGCCCAAAACAGCGCAAAUAUUAUGAGGUGAUCAGCACUACACCAAGGAAUGGCUUAGGAAUGAGGUCUGAUCCCCACUCUCCAUAGUCUCUAUCAGCUACCCACUGGCCUUCUUAAAUGCAGUCUAAGUUAAUGUGUGUUUGCUUGCUGUGAGGCAUGGCCUCUUUGCUAAUUUCUUUCACCCCCAUACUCUCCUCCUGUAUGGAAAUACUAGUGCCACCCUGCAUUUGAUUUUUUUUAAGUUGUUUUGACCCUUAUAGGUUAAAGAGAAAGGUGAGAUUGCUUUGCUGUCUGUCAUGGUGAUGGUGGGCCGUGAGUUUAGGGAGAAAGGACUGCCGAGAUAAGAAAUGAAAUGGUCUUGAAUCUCUGGGAUUGCAAAGGACAAGGAAAGAUAUGGGGCAAAAUCAAGACAUUUCCUUCACAGUAUCCCAGAGAAGUGUGGUUUGUCAAAGAUCAGAUAGUUGUAGGUAUGCGGCGUUAUUUCUGAGGGCUCUGUUCUGUUCCAUUGAUCUAUAUCUCUGUUUUGGUACCAGUACCAUGCUGUUUUGGUUACUGUAGCCUUGUAGUAUAGUUUGAAGUCAGGUAGUGUGAUACCUCCAGCUUUGUUCUUUUGGCUUAGGAUUGACUUGGCGAUGUGGGCUCUUUUUUGGUUCCAUAUGAACUUUAAAGUAGUUUUUUCCAAUUCUGUGAAGGAAGUCCUUGGUAGCUUGAUGGGGAUGGCAUUGAAUCUGUAAAUGAGGAGCUGAUCUUCUUAUCAGAAGCAAGUAGGAAAUACCCCUAAUCCUUGAUGUUCUCUUGCAUAUAUUUUCCAAAGAGCACCAUGUGAAGCCAGAUUUUUAUUGACUGGUCUUUGUUUCUCAACAUGAGGGGAAAAAUGGGGAUAGGGCAUUGUCCUGGUUGGACAAGAAAAUUAAACAGGGCAUUUGUUACACCUGUUGAUAUUGACUGGACAUUUUGAGACUCUUCUUGGUGGAGAUGCUAAACUGAAAACAACCUACACAUACCAGAGCAUCCAAGAAUGUAUUCACCAGUAGAUAUGGGGUUUCACCAUAUUGGCCAGGCUGGUCUUGAACUCCCAACCUCAGCUCAAAUAUCACCUCAGAGAAGCUCCUCCUUUCCUUCCAACCUUCCAUCCAACCAUCAAGCCACCCAGUCAUCCAGUCCUCCAUUUAUCCUUUAACAAAUGUUUGUUGAAUCCAUGCUCCGUGCUAGCACUGUGCUUGGUGCAGGGGAUACAGCUGUGAACAAAACAGAUGAAGUCUCUCUGUUUUCAUGUUGAAUAUCUUACUCUUAUUUGUUUCUUUCUUUAAUUGUGUGACUCCUUCACCCCCACCCGUAGAAUGGCAAUUCUGUGUGAACGGGUACCUUAUCCUUCUUGCUCACCAUUACAUUCCAGCCCAAUACUUUCUAAAUAAAUAUUUGCUGAAUGAAAAAUAUUUCUAAGCCCACCCCUUCUGCAAUCUCCUCCUCUAGUACGGUACCAUUACAAUUGCUUGGUCUGAAGAACACUGGUGUGGUAGUGUGAGAAAGAAAGACAGAAAAUAAUGAUUGAGUGCUGAAUGUUAAGCAAAGUGCUAGGAGAGGGUAUGUUAGGGCAGCCUAACCUGGUCUGGGGAUGAACAGUGGUCUGAGAAGGCUCCUGGAAGAAGCGACAUUGUAUUAGUAACUUGGAGGAGUAAGGGUUAGCUAGGAGGGGAUGGGGUUGAGGCCUGGUCUUGGAUAAAUGAUAGAUUAAUAGGAGGAGGAAUUUAGUAGCUCUCUGAAAAGUGUUCAAGUCAUCAGUGUGAACUAGCACAAUGUCCAUGUGUCUACAACAUCAGGAAUGGGAGGAGUGUACAGACAUUUGUGAGUUUUGUUUCGCUGUUGUAUUUUUUUGAGACAAUCAAACAUAUCCCCAAAUAGAUGCUCCUUGGAUGUAACUUGAAAGGUGAUAAAAUGCCCAAGAAGAAAAUCACCAAGUUGUUGCUUCACUUGAAUUGCCCAGGGCUUUUUUCCAAAGGAGAUAAGGUUCUGGCCUUCAAACACUAUUUUCACUGACAAUUUCUCUUUCCUUGCUUGAAUAAUCCCACUAGCAAUCUAAAGAAAGAACUUUUAUUCCAAAGAAACAUACUCAUAAAGCUGUGAGUUGUUAAAGAGAACAUGUGAGUUUCUCAUAUUCCUACCUUCCACUCCUCCUGUUUGCCCACCCUUUCCUCCAACUCCACAUUCAACUUAGGAUAGUUUUAUUUACACAAUGAGGUCUGAUUGUUUUGGGGCUUUCUUUGUCAUAUAUCAUGCCAUUUAAUGGUAAGCAAUACAUUUGUGACUAUUCUUUUAGGAUGCAUCAGACUUUCCCUAUAAAUCUGAACAGAGUGAGUGGUAUGGAAAACUAGCUGCUAGAAUUUUGUUUUUGCGAGUAAAAGGCAACGUAACAUAAAAAUUAAACAAACAUCUUCCUUUCCAAUCACUAUCUGCAUGUUACAAACCAUGUAGAUUUGUAACUUUGCCAAUACACUAUGGUGGAGGAAGGGUGCCUCUGUUCCAAGGGCUUCACUCCUUGGAGAUGUGUUUUCAGACCGUGGAACACAGUGGGGUCAAGUCUAUCAGUAUGAGGCACAGGGACAAUGGGGAGACUAAUUUAAAAAGCAUAAUGUGGGCAUCAGACAGAAUUGGGUUUAAAUUUCUGUAUUUUCCUCACCAGUCAAAAGGCGUUGCUUGGUUCAGUCUGAACUUCAUUUCCCUAUCUGUACAAUGGGCACAAUUUGUUUUUCAUAAGGUUUUUAGUGCUGUAUCUAUCAUGUAAUGAUCAUAGAAUCUGAUACAGCCUCUUGAUUCUCUUUUUUCUGAAGCCAUUUGCAUAAAAUGAGUCUCACAAACUUAGCUUUUUUUUUUUUUUAGUGAGAAAAUUCUGGCAUCUGAUGUAGAAAAUAAAUUAAUACCUGCUUAAGAGUUCUGUUUUCUGCAGUGAAGCACAGCUGUUAUUACUGUUAAUGGCCCCAAGCUUUCACGAUUCCCAAACCAGAAAAACAAGCGCAAGAUCUUUGCUAUGUUGAAGGGAGAACUGGGAAGGCAAGGUCUCAAUUCAGGGCCAUUUGGAAAUAUUAAUAUAAUCAUUUAAUUUCAUAAUUUCUUUUAGCAUUUGGCUCGAUGACUUUACAAUAUUUUUUUAAAAGUCAAAUGCUAACAAAGAGAAAACUUCGAGUACUUCUUCUUGCAUUUUCUUGCAUUGAAGGCUCUUCUUGCAUUUUUUCUUUUUUUUCCUCUCUGUCCAUCUGUCC
rnacentral:lncRNA from 1 species